GUAUUUUUAGGACUAGUUUACUGUCUUCCUAUUUUAGCACUUUUGAACAUGACUUUUAUGUUUUGACAUUUUCUGUUGGGUCACCCGAACUUUACUUAUACGAAAUAUUUGUUUUUCCAUCUUUUUCCUAAAAUCGAUGUCUCUUUGUUAUCUUGUGAUGUGUGCAUUCGGACAAAACAACAUCGGUUUUCUUUUCCCUUAACCAUAUAAACCCACACAACCAUUUACCCUUAUCUAUAGUGAUGUUUGGGGUCCCUCCAAGGUCACCACCUCAUCUGGAAAAAGGGUGGUUUGUAACUUUCAUUGAUGAUCAUACCCGUCUUAGCUGGGCCUACCUUAUCAUUGAUAAAUCUAAGGUUUCCUCUAUUUUUCAAAACUUCUACCACACCAUUGAAAUGCAAUUCCACCAAUAAAUUGCUAUUCUUUGGAGUGAUCAUGGUCGGGAAUUCCAAAAUCAUAACCUUAGUGAAUUUCUAGCCUCCAAGGUCACCAAAACUCGUGCACCUACACUCAACAAAAUGGAGUGGUCGAGUGAAAAAAGCGUCACCUUUUGGAAGUAGCCCGUUCACUUAUGUUAUCUACUUCCCUUACUUCAUACCUGUGAGGAGAUGCUAUUCUUAAAGCAACUCAUUUAAUUAGUAUAAUGCCUUCUCGUUUCCCCCACCUUCAGACUCCCUUAGAUUGUCUUAAGGAGUCCUACCCCUCUACUCGUCUUGUUUUUUAGGUUCCUCUUUGUGUGUUUGGGUGUAUCACUUAUGUCCAAAUUUUGGUCCUCAUCGGACCAAAUUUACCUCUUGGGCUCAGACAUGUGUGUUUGUUGGGUAUCCUCUUCACCAGCGCGGUUAUGAAUAUUUUCACCUAUAGUCUAGGAAAUACUUUGUCACUAUGGAUGUUACUUUCUGUGAGGAUCGAUCCUACUUUACCAUUAGCCAUCUUCUGGGGGAGAGUGUGACUGAAGAGUCUAACAACACCUUCGAAUUUAUUGAACCUACUCCUAGUAUUGUGUCUGACGUGGAUUCUCAUCUUAUAGUCCUACCAACAAACCAAGUUCCAUGGAAAACGUAUUAGAGGAGGAAUCUCAGAAAGGAAGUCGCGUCCUCUACUAGUCCGUCGCUAUUUCUAGUCCAAUACUUCGAACCUCCUCGAGAUCAAGAUAUGAAAAACCCUACUGAACCUUGUACUAAUAAUACGAUGAGUGAGAAUAACGGGUCUGAUGUUCCUGAAAAUGUGGAAGAAAAGAACAAUGGUGAUGAGACUGAGGUCAGAACAGAAACCAGUAAUAAUGAAGCUGAACAGGGUCAUACAGGGAAACUUGAUGAGUAUGAUCUCUCUCUUGACAUUCCCAUUACUCUGUGAGAAAAGAGUGUCCUGAAUGGAAGAAUGCUGUCGUGGAAGAGAUAAAGGCUCUUGAAAAGAAUAGAACUUGGGAGAUUUGUACUCUACCUAAGCGACACAAACUUGUGGGAUGCAAAUGGGUGUUCUUUCUCGAAUACAAAGCAGAUGGUACUUUUGACAGACACAAGGCAAGGUUAGUUGCAAAGGGAUUUACUCAAACCUAUGGUAUUGAAUAUUCAGAAACUUUUUCUCUAGUUGCUAAGUUGAAUACUGUUAGAGUCCUAUCUGUUGCCAUGAACAAAGAUUGACCCCUAUACUAGCUGGAUGUUAAGAAUGCUUAUGAAAGGAGACCUUGUGGAGGAAGUUUACAUGAGCCUCUCGUCUAGAUUUGAAGCCCGGUUUGGUUAGUAGGUGUGUAAACUCCAGAAAUCUCUUUAUGGUCUGAAACAGUCUCCUAGAGCAUAGUUUGACAGAUUCACUACCUUUGUCAAGUACCAAGGGUACAGUCAGGGACACUGUGAUCAUACUUUAUUGACAAAGGUUUCCAAGACAAGGAAGAUUGUUGUUCUAAUAGUUUAUGUGGAUAGCAUUGUUUUGACAGGAGAUGAUCAAACAUAAAUCAGUCGACUAAAGCAAAGAAUGGGUGAUGAAUUUGAAAUCAAGGAUUUGGGCAAUCUGAAAUAUUUCCUUAAGCAAAAAAUGGGUGAUGAAUUUGAAAUCAAGGAUUUGAGAAAUCUUAAAUAUUUUCUUGGAGUGGAGGUGACCAGAUCUAAAGAAGGUAUGUUUGUGUCUCAAAUAAAAUACACACUUGACUUGCUAAUCGAGACAGGUAUGUUGGGAUGUCGUUCUGCUAACACUCUUAUUGAAUUCAACUGUAAACUAGGAAACUCUAAUGAUCAAGUUCCAGUUGAUAAAGAACAAUAUCAGCGCCUCGUGGGUAAAUUGAUUUACUUGUCCCAUACUCGUUCUGAUAUUUCCUUUGCUACGAAUGUUGUGAGCUAGUUUAUGCAAGCUCCUUAUGAGAAACACAUAGAAGCUGUCAACAGAAUUCUGAGAUACUUGAAAACAACAUCUGGUAAAGGGUUGAUGUUUAAAAAACAGACAGAAAGACCAUUGAGGCAUAUACUGGCUCGGAUUGGGUGGGAUCUAUUGUUGAUAGAAAACUACCUUCGGUUACUGUACCUUUGUUUGGGGUAAUCUUGUAACUUGGAGGAGUAAGAAGCAAAGUGUUGUGGCCAGGAGUAGCACUGAGACCGAUUACAAAGCUAUGAGUUUGGGAAUUUGUGAGAAAAUUUGACUCUAGAAAGUCCUGUCAGAUCUUCAUCAAGACACUAUUGAAGCUUUUUUGUGAUAAUAAAGCUGCUAUUAGUAUUUUUAACACCCAGUACAACAUGAUAAAAUUAAACAUGUUGAGAUUGAUUGACAUUUCAUUAGAGAAAGACUUGACAGUGGUAGCAUAUGCAUUUCGUACAUUCCUUCGAGCCAACAGGUUGCUGAUGUUCUCACCAAGGGACUUCUCAGACCAAGUUUCGACUUUUGUAUUAGCAAGUUGGGCUUCAUUGAUAUUUACGUCCCAACUUGAGGGAGAGUGUUAGAAUUAGUGGGCUUGGCCCUUAGAGUAUUUUUAGAAAGAAUACCGAAGGUUUUCCCUCUUUUAUAUUUUUUUUUCUUUUUUACACCUUAUUGGAUUCUAUUUAUUCUCCCUCCUUGUGCCUAUUAUAUUCAUUCAUCAGAAAAAUAAUGAAAUUAAAAACAUCAUGGUUUUUCUCUCGGUUUUCGGGUUUUCAUGUAAAUUUUGGUUUCGUGUUUAUUGCUUUUAAUACUCAUAUUCUUUAUGGCUCUCUUUGUAUAACUCUUUCGUACUUUGAGUUCUUAUUAAUAAAGAAGUUCUCGUCUCCGUUUAAAAAAAAAAAAAAAA